UGUAUUUGGAAGAACUUGAACAAGGAAUCAGCGAGGAUUACAGAGUCGCAAAAUUUGGAUUUCGUUGUGGUAUUAAUCCUGAAUUAUGUGUUCGUGUAACGUUACAUUAUUCAUGUAAGUUUAACUCUUUAUAAAAAUAUAUAAUUUUCACACGACGUCAACAUGAACAGAAAAACAAGGCAGAUAUGUUGGAACUUUUCCAAUGUCCUGUAAUAAACCUGUAUUGAGGCUACGGCCAGUGUGCGCAUGCGCACGACCCACAAUUCAUUUCUUCCUCGUGUCUCUUUUGGAAGAGUUCCUUAACGUGGUCUUUCUCGUCUCUCCGUUGGAAGGGUUAGAGGAGUGUCCGACUGAAGCACCUGGUUUGAAAAGAGCACAAAACCCCAGGAGGAGCGGAAAUGGGAAUUCUGAGCUGCAGAAAUGGAGCGCCUCUCAUGUUAAAAGUACUCGGACUGGACUCCCAGCCACCGGAUUGAGAUGUUCUGUGCUGAAACUGUGAAGGUUAGAGGAGUGUCCAACUGAAGCACCUGGUUUGAAAAGAGCACAAGACCUCAGCAGGAGCUGAAAGAACGCACGAGCUGAGAAAAUAAGAUGACGUGCCAUGUCAAGUGCCCGGGUGAGCAAGCUGAUCACCUCCAGAAUAUAUUGGUUGGCAGGAUUCAUGAAACCAAGGUGAAACCGAAGAGCAUUCGGUGGAGGAUAUUUUGAGCUUGAUUACUGCACUAUCCACAAAGCUUUUAAAAUGACCAAUACCCCUAUCAUUAACAUACGGCAUCGAACCUCGUCCUGUGAUAUUAAUAAGGUUGUAGGUGCUUGUAUAAACAUCAUACAGGUUGGCAAUAAUUUAGCCACUUUGAAAAUAAAUAAAUAAAAUUAUUUUUUGUAGCAAGGAAAUACUAUUCUUGAACUGAAACUUCUACCAAUUCCAGUGUGAGAGCACAAAAAUCCACAUCCUGGAUGCAAAGCUAGAAAGCAUGUAGACAGCUUGCUUAUGUAUUUAUUUAUUUAUUUUUAUUUGUAUAAUAAAUCUCUCCUCCUAUGCUUUGCCCACUGGAGGCUGCCAGUGUUUCUAGUGGCCAUAACAGGGGGGUAUAGCAACCUCUUGCAAAAACUGGAUCAAAGGGCGUCCACAUGGGCCCGGAUCCUGUGCAAGGAACAGACACAUCUUCUAUGAACAGCCUCUUUCAUGACUUAACACCCACCUAGUAAAUAAUGCUCAGAAUCCAAAUAAAGCUAAUGCUCACAAUUUAAUCUCACUGAGGACUUUUUUUUUUUUUUAUUAGGCAGGGAGUUGAAACGGAUAAGAUGACCGACAACCAAUAUCGUGUAUCAUAACGUAACAAAAAAAUAAGCCAGAAGUCAAUUCAAUAUACCGAUGGCUCGAUUUUUCCAUGUGUUUCUAUCUAGGUGCUGCGGAUGUGUCCUGAAGUCCAGAUGAGCAGCAUGUGUGCGUUCAACACGGACACGUUUUUAUCUGCCCUUAUGUUUGAACUUUUCUUUGUGCUACUUGGUGUUGACUGUAACGUCGUCUUAGAAAUUUAUAAAGUUGCUUGUCAGAUCUUUUCUGUGAAGUAAAUAAAAAAUAAUAAAGGUGGAGAAAUAGUGUGUUCAAACUUUACAUCCGUUUGCCUCUUUCCUACUCUCUGUGCGCACUCUAUUUUCAUACGGCCGAAUUCCCAAUAAAGCUGUUCUCAUUUACAC
ensembl:lncRNA